rnacentral:rRNA from 1 species
CACGUAGGGACCAAGCGUUGUCCGGAUUUAUUGGGCGUAAAGCGCUCGUAGGCGGUUCGGUAAGUCGGGUGUGAAACCUCCAGGCUCAACCUGGUGACGCCACCCGAUACUGCCGUGACUUGAGUUCGGUAGGGGAGCGGGGAAUUCCUGGUGUAGCGGUGAAAUGCGCAGAUAUCAGGAGGAACACCAGUGGCGAAGGCGCCGCUCUGGGCCGAAACUGACGCUGAGGAGCGAAAGCGUGGGGAGCGAACAGG